AGAAUCAACGCUGGCGGCGUGCCUAACACAUGCAAGUCGAACGAGAAAGGGUAGCAAUACCUGAGUAAAGUGGCGCACGGGUGAGUAACACGUGACUAACCUACCUUUUAGUGGGGGAUAACCUAGGGAAACCUGGGCUAAUACCGCAUAAUACCUACGGGUCAAAGCAGCAAUGCGCUGAAUGAGGGGGUCGCGGUCGAUUAGUUAGUUGGCAGGGUAAUGGCCUACAAGCUGUGAUCGAUA
rnacentral:rRNA from 1 species